rnacentral:misc_RNA from 1 species
GAUGAAGAACGCAGCGAAAUGCGAUACUUGGUGUGAAUUGCAGAAUCCCGUGAACCAUCGAGUCUUUGAACGCAAGUUGCGCCCGAAGCCAUUAGGCCGAGGGCACGCCUGCCUGGGCGUCACACGUCGUUGCCCCCCCCAUCUACUCCUUCGGGAUUGCGGGGGGCGGAUGUUGGCCUCCCGUGCGCCUCGCCGCGCGGUUGGCAUAAAUGCCAAGUCCUCGGCGAUGCACGCCACGACAAUCGGUGGUUGCGAAACCUCGGUUGCCCGUCGUGUGCGGUCGUCGCGCAUCGAGGGCUCGAAAAAAUUGCCGGGUUCCGGCUCGGCUUUCAACGCGACCCCAGGUCAGGCGGGGUUACCCGCUGAAUUUAAGCAUAUCGAUAAGCGGAGGA